CUCAUUACAACAGCUAUUAUUUACUUGAUUUUGAUAUCCUACGUGGAUAACUGUGGUAAUUCUAGAGCUAAUACAUGCACCAAAGCUCUGAAUUAUGAAGAGCGCAUUUAUUAGACUAAAACCAAUCGGGCGUCAGCUCGUGUUUUGGUGACUCUGAAUAGCUACAGCUGAUCGCAUGGUCAUGUACCGGCGACGUGUCUAUCAAGUGUCUGCCUUAUCAACUUUCGAUGGUAGUUUAUGUGCCUACCAUGGUUGUUACGGGUAACGGAGAAUAAGGGUUCGACUCCGGAGAGGGAGCCUGAGAAACGGCUACCACAUCCAAGGAAGGCAGCAGGCGCGCAAAUUACCCACUCUCGGCAUGAGGAGGUAGUGACGAAAAAUAACGAGACCGUUCUCAAUGAGGCCGGUUAUCGGAAUGAAUACAAUUUAAACCCGUUAAUGAGGAUCUAUGAGAGGGCAAGUCUGGUGCCAGCAGCCGCGGUAAUUCCAGCUCUCAAAGUGUAUAUCGUCAUUGCUGCGGUUAAAAAGCUCGUAGUUGGAUCUGCGCUUGAGGACUUGGUCCACCAUUUCGGUGCUGAACUGAGCUCCUCGGCUAAUGUGUCAGCUGGUUUUCCCUACGUUGCCUUCACCGGUCGCGUAGGGUGGCUAGCGAGUUUACUUUGAAAAAAUUAGAGUGCUUAAAGCGGGCAAUAAAGUCUGAAUAUUUGUGCAUGGAAUAAUAGAAUAGGAUCUCGGCUCUAUUUUGUUGGUUUUCUGAUCUGAGAUAAUGGUUAAGAGGGACAGACGGGGGCAUUCGUAUCGCUGCGUGAGAGGUGAAAUUCUUGGACCGUAGCGAGACGCCCGACUGCGAAAGCAUUUGCCAAGAAUGUCUUCAUUAAUCAAGAACGAAAGUCAGAGGUUCGAAGGCGAUCAGAA
rnacentral:rRNA from 1 species